AUUGGAGGGGCUCUUUUCGUUGUCACUGCCUAUGUAUUUAUAGGGCUGAUGUACUUGCUUGGCACGGCCUGAACGAUAAGCAGAGGAUUUCAAUUGCACCUAAAGACGUGUAAUGGAAUAUUCUGAAAAAUAAAACAAUGACCACAUAGGGUUCAAUUGCACUUAAUCCUCUUCUAUUCCAACUUUGACUUUACUUUAUCCCAUCAUUGAAUUUGUUGGAUAGUCACACACGGUUCUUUUCACAUCCAAAACAAUCACCUUGUUUUUCUCAAUGCCCAUAUGCCUCACACAUUACAAACACCUACCAAUUUGCUACUCGAACUUAUCCCACCUGCAGGUUACCUAUGCAUGCAUAAAGACCAUGCAUCCAACUACUAUAAUCAAACCCCAUGCUGAUAUAUUCAGCCGCAACUAUGCAUGAAGGCCAUAUGACAAGAUGGAACCUAACUACAAUCUUGUUGGAUAAAAAUCUAUUUGUUGAUGUACUUAAACUCCAAGACAACUAUGCAUGAACACCGAACUGAUUCUGUAAAAUCGGGUCCAAACACCUACAUACAAUCUUAAUUAAUUUUUGGACUUGGAUGUGUGGCUGAGAUGGUCUGGUGUGUACACCCACCAAUUUUACUUCAAGAUACUCUAAUCGAGGAUGUUUCUUAAUUAGUUAUUGUUUUUUGUAAUGUUUGGAGGAUGGUUAUAUUGUUCAUUGUUUAUACCAUAUUUAGGGCCUCCGUAUUUAGAUCUCGUACAAAUACUCAGGGGACUUAAAUGUAAUUAUGUAAUAAAGGAAGGGGAAAAUAUGUAAUAAGUGAGGAGCCCUUAUUCUAUAAAAGGACUCUUCACCCUAACAAUUAGGAGAGGUCAAUUUCUUAGGCCAUGGAAGGGCUCUCUCACCCUCAGAAGCUUCCUCCAUCUCUCUCCCUCACAAACAGAGAAAUAAUAAUCAGUGUGGACGUAGCCCAAACCUUGAGGUGAACCACGAUACAUCUUGUGUUAUUUACAUUUCAUGCAGAUUCACAGUUGGAUUUACGUUGUUUCAAGACUUCCAGUUUUGUGCAUCAACAUUUGGCGCCGUCUGUGGGAAACGACACGAAAAGCUGUGUCGGUUCUCUUUCAUUUUUUUCACCUCCGCCGCGAAUCUGCGCCAGCUUUCAUUUUUUGAUUUCUGUCUGGACCAGGAGAGAGAGAUCCUUUCCACUGUGUUUUUCCCAUAUCCCGUAUAAAACAAGCAAACUUUAAUUCAAUACUUGAGUUUUCAAAGAUGGCAACAGCAACCCAAAUCCAGGAAGUGGUGCUUGACUCCUCCGCCGGCCCCAAGAGCAUGCCCGUGCUCAC
rnacentral:lncRNA from 1 species